CAUAAUUCCUCUACCAAGAAAUUCAGCUGGGCUCACAUGACUAUUUUUUGGGAUUGUAUUUCAAUGCAGUGGAAAAGACAGCUUCCAAAGGUGCAGGAAGGAGACAGAGGCAAGGACCUUGGAAAUGUCUCAAGACACUUGCAACCGAUUAAGCCAUCACCCCAGAAGAGGGAUGCCAUAACAAAGUACCAUCAACUGGGCAGCUAACAACGAAACAUGUGCAUUCCUUCACAGUCCUGGAUACUGCAAGUCCCAAAUCAGGUGUCAGCAAGGCCAUGCUCCCUGUGAGAGUCUAAAUAGAAUCCUUCCUUGCCUCUCCCUGGCUUUGAUGGUGGCGAUCGAUCUUCAGUUCCUCGACUUGCAGCUGCAUAACUCCAAUCUCUGCCUCCAUCUUCACGUGGCAUCCUUCCCUUGUAUCUUCACAGUGUCUCCUUAUAAGGACACCAGUACUGCUGGAUUAAGGGCCCACCCUACUUGAGUAUGACCUUGUUUCAACUAAUUACAUCUGCAAUGGUCCUAUUUCCAAAUACGUUGCUUUCUGAGGUCCUGAGGUCUAGGACUUCAACGUGUGUUUUUGGGGGACAAGAUUCAACCCAUAACAAGUAGCAUAACGACAGUGUGGCGAUUCCUCAAGGACCUAGAUACAGAAAUUCCAUUUCAUCCAGCAAUCCCAUUACUUGGUAUAUAUCCAAAGGAUUAUAAAUACACAUGCAAACUUACGUUCACUGUGGCACUGUUUACAAUAGCAAAGACCUGGAACCAACCCAAAUGCCCAUCGAUAAUAGACUGGACAAGGAAAAUGUGGCACAUAUAUACCAUGGAAUACUAUGCAGCCAUAAAAAACUAUGAGUUUGUGUCCUUUGUAGGGACAUAGAUAAAUCUGGAAGCCAUCAUUCUCAGCAAACUGACACAAGAACAGACAAUCAAACACUGCAUGUUCUCACUCAUAGGUGGGUGUUGAAAAAUGAGAACACAUGGACACAGGGA
rnacentral:lncRNA from 1 species